GAUGAACGCUGGCGGCGUGCCUAAUACAUGCAAGUCGAGCGAACAGACGAGGAGCUUGCUCCUCUGACGUUAGCGGCGGACGGGUGAGUAACACGUGGAUAACCUACCUAUAAGACUGGGAUAACUUCGGGAAACCGGAGCUAAUACCGGAUAAUAUAUUGAACCGCAUGGUUCAAUAGCGAAAGACGGUUUUGCUGUCACUUAUAGAUGGAUCCGCGCCGCAUUAGCUAGUUGGUAAGGUAACGGCUUACCAAGGCGACGAUGCGUAGCCGACCUGAGAGGGUGAUCGGCCACACUGGAACUGAGACACGGUCCAGACUCCUACGGGAGGCAGCAGUAGGGAAUCUUCCGCAAAGGGCGAAAGCCUGACGGAGCAACGCCGCGUGAGUGAUGAAGGUCUUCGGAUCGUAAAACUCUGUUAUUAGGGAAGAACAAAUGUGUAAGUAACUAUGCACGUCUUGACGGUACCUAAUCAGAAAGCCACGGCUAACUACGUG
rnacentral:rRNA from 1 species